CAUAUUUUUAAAAACAAUUUUUCUAAAUGGAAACAUUAAAUAAUACAAAAAUUAUCACCAUUUUUCCAAUGAUCCAGUCAUAAUAAUUUCAAUAUCUGCAUAUAGAGAUGCAUAUACAAAACAGUUAUUCUUUUGACCAACCUGAUUAUACAUGAUUAUAGAUGAUAGGAAAUAUGUUCCAAUAAUCUGCUUGUUUCAUUAGAUAUAUUAUUCAAUGAACUUCUCAAAAUAUUUUCCUUUUUAUUAUAUUUUAUCAUUCUCUGAAGAUGGUGUUUUAACAUGUCGAAUCGUGCACAUACUUGAAAGUGAACAGGAAUAUAAGGGACGAAGUACAAUGGUACCUACAUAUACCCAGGAUAUUUCGCCCUCUAAAAUAUGAAG